rnacentral:rRNA from 1 species
UCGGGAAUUUUGGGCAAUGGGGGAAACCCUGACCCAGCAACGCCGCGUGAAGGAUGAAGUAUUUCGGUAUGUAAACUUCGAAAGAAUAGGAAGAAUAAAUGACGGUACUAUUUAUAAGGUCCGGCUAACUACGUGCCAGCAGCCGCGGUAAUACGUAGGGACCAAGCGUUGUUCGGAUUUACUGGGCGUAAAGGGCGCGUAGGCGGCAAUUCAAGUCAUCUGUGAAAUCUCCGGGCUUAACUCGGAACGGUCAGAUGAUACUGCUUUGCUAGAGUGCAGAAGGGGCAAUCGGAAUUCUUGGUGUAGCGGUGAAAUGCGUAGAUAUCAAGAGGAACACCUGAGGUGAAGACGGGUUGCUGGGCUGACACUGACGCUGAGGCGCGAAAGCCAGGGGAGCAAACGGGAUUAGAUACCCUUGUGUCCCUGAGCGGGCUGGCAAGGCGCAU